AGGUGUGUAUAUCUGUGUGUGUGUGUGUGUGUAUGUGCCAGUGUGUGUAUCUGUGUGUGUGUAUAUAUAUCUGACACACAGAUACAUACACACAGUGGCACACAGAUACACACACCUUGACACACAGUGUGUA